GCCCAGCUGGCUCAGGUGGUAGAGAGCAUGUGACUCUUGAUCUCAGGGUUGUGAGUUCAAGCCCCAUGUUGGGCA
rnacentral:tRNA from 1 species